AUUGAACGCUGGCGGCAGGCUUAACACAUGCAAGUCGAGCGGGGGCUUCGGUCCUAGCGGCGAACGGGUGAGGAAUGCCUGGGAAUCUGCCUGGUAGUGGGGGAUAACGAUUCGAAAGGGUCGCUAAUACCGCAUACGUCCUACGGGAGAAAGCAGGGGACCUUCGGGCCUUGCGCUAUCAGAUGAGCCCAGGUCGGAUUAGCUAGUAGGUGAGGUAAAGGCUCACCUAGGCGACGAUCCGUAGCUGGUCUGAGAGGAUGAUCAGCCACACUGGAACUGAGACACGGUCCAGACUCCUACGGGAGGCAGCAGUGGGAAUAUUGGACAAUGGGCGAAAGCCUGAUCCAGCCAUGCCGCGUGUGUGAAGAAGGCCUCGGUUGUUAA
rnacentral:rRNA from 1 species